rnacentral:lncRNA from 1 species
AUCCAGCUUGGGGGAGUUUCUCCCUGUUUUAUCAAGUAAGUUUUUAUUCGCUUAUCUUAUUUAUUCUUUUCAGUUUUAGUGUUUUAUUUAUUUCAUAAAAAAAUCUUCAAUAAAUAUUUUCUUGCUUUAAUUUACUGCAUUCUAUGAACAUGAAAACAAAAUAAAAAGAGUGUGUAGAUAAGUGUGCUUUAUUUAUCUGCUAAGUGUUAGUCUCUGGGAAAAUAAAAAGAUUAAAAAGAUGCACGAUGGAAAUGAUGAACAGUUGCUCUGUUUGCUUAUUUGCAAGUACCUAGCUUUCAAAUUAGAGUUCUCCCAAGAAUUACUAAAACCUGAAAUUUAAUAUCUAUGGGAGCAUGAGCCUAAAACUAAAGUCUAGGUAAGAGAAGGACAUGAUAUAAAGUUUGAGCUGCUGUUUAUCCUGUUUUUACUACACUAAGUUCUGGAGAUUUAUUUUGAAAACUUGAAGAUCACAUGAUGAGUUCCUAGCAUGACAAAAUUCCUACCACAGCCAUACUUGCUAUAACAUCUUUUGCUACAAAUAUUCACAUUGAGUUUGAUCGAGCUGUGUAGACCCUUAGGAGCUUUUCAUGUGGUUAAAUUAAGAUUCUCACUUGCACACAUCUACUACACCAUCCACCACCAUUCAUUAAAAUUGCUAAAAAUAUUAUCACUCAUUGUCCCAAGUGUUGUUAUUCUCUCUCUCCAAAAAGAUUCAAUGCAGAAGAGGCAUGGGUUAUGCAAAUAUAUGCGAGGAAAUAAAAAGGGGCAAGUGCCCGGAACCUCGAAAAAGAAAGAAAAAGUGUGAGACAAGAGGUAAAAAUGGACAAGUGUCCGGAGUAGAAUUAGGGGUACAAAGAUGCCCACCUGAGCGGAAAAAAUGGACAAGUGUCCUACAGUAGAAUUAGGGGUAUUUACUACCCACCUGAAAAAAAGAGAAAAUAAAAAGAUAGCCCAUGUUCUCCCAAAGCAAAGAUCAAGAGGAGGAGAGAUAGCAAUAUGAGGAGCAAUGAGAAGUAAUUUUUAUCAUUACUUAUAUUUUCACCAUUACUAUCAUUUACUCCACCACACAUGCACAUCUUGAUUUAAUUAUAUGUUGAGUUCCUUUGGAUCCUUGGCUCGAUUAGACAACAUAUGUAUGAGCUAUUCCCUUAGUUAUAGGUAAGUGACAUUUUUGGUAAGGAUCCACAAAUACCAUAUAAUACCAUAUAUAGAGAGAUUUGAGAGUAACAUAGCUGGGAACUCUGAGUUUUAUUUUUGAAAACGUAUGCAAAACUCCAGAACAAAGGUGAAGUAUAGACU